rnacentral:rRNA from 1 species
GAGAACAGUCAGUCGUUCGUUGCUAAUUCGCGAUUACAAGCGACUCCCCUUCAGGCAGUCGAGUUGCGAACAGCGAUCCGAACUGAAACCGGUUUUCAGGGAUCCGCUCCACCUCGCGGUGUCGCACCCCGUUGUACCGGCCAUUGUACCAGGCGUGAAGCCCUGGACGUAAGGGGCAUGAUGAUCUGACGUCUUCCCCACCUUCCUCCGAGUUAACCCCGGCGGUCCCUUGUGAGUUCCCGCCAUGACGCGCUGGCAACAAAAGGGGAGGGUUGCGCUCGUUGCGGUACUUAACCCAACAUCUCACGACACGAGCUGACGACCACCAUGCACCACCUGUGAACCGGCCCCGAAGGGAAGCCCCGUCUCCCCGACCGUCCGGAACAUGUCAGGCCCAGGU